rnacentral:lncRNA from 1 species
CGUUAUUUUCCCAGCAGGCUCUGCCCCCACAGAUUAAAAAAAAAAAACUCAGAGACAAACAGGAUUUGGUGCCCAGAGUGUAAUGAAGCCUCCACCUCACGCUGGCUUCUCCGACGGCACAGAGAUAGUGUAACAUCUGCUGGUUUUAAAUCUGCACUCUUAAUUUGAGAGUGAAGGCCUGAUAUUUAGACUCCUGUGACCCCACAGAGAGGACGGCGUUUUCUCAUACUUCGUCAAACUUGUUGACGUCAUUGGAGAGCAGGUUGACGAUCUGACCCGUGGUGGUUUUUCCCAUGGCUAAGCUGCUCAGAGACAGAGCCUGGAAAGACAGGAAGCACAGUUCAAACACUUGCAGUUAUUCCACAAAUAUUAACUAAUUGGAGGCCGACCUUCUUGUAGAUCAUGUGACACAUGGCCACUCGGAUCUUCAUGCCCGCCCUCUGGACGUGGUAGAAGUAAAGGUGGUGGAGCAACGUCAGGCCGAUGGUGAGGCUGGACAGGCCGGCCGCGUAGCCGAGCGUCUCGUGAAACGCCUUGACGUUAUUUGGAUCAUAACUCUCAAAGUAUUCAAUCAUUUUGCCCAAAACCACCGGCUGACUUUCUCCAUGGCUCGCGGGGCUGACUGACAGCUCGCCUCCCCGCCACCGGCCUCCCUCCUAACUUUGUCCUCUCCUUCAACAGCUGAAACUUCCAGCUCCGUGUUGUAACAUCUUCGACUCUACAUGUGAUGCCUUAGGAGGUGUGUUACACAACAAACGUGUGGCUUAUUAGCUAGAAGCUAAGGUGAAGUCACCUAUCUGAACCGCCCCCCGAGACAUCUGAUUGGCUACAAAAAUUAAAGGUCUCCUGCUAUUGGGUGUUUGCCUGAGGCGGGUUAACGUGAUUGGUUCAUAAGUCUCUUUACUGUUUUUGGACAUUAAAAUAUAGUUUUAAGAUAUUUUUUAAAUAAAUAAAUAGUAUAAUUCAAAAGGAAAUAAAUUUGGAAUUAAUAAAUUGAAUUUCAAAUAAUUUUAAUCUUGUAUUUUUUUUUUGAAAACUACUAUUCUUUUCCAUUUUACUUGUUU